rnacentral:rRNA from 1 species
AGAGUUUGAUCCUGGCUCAGGACGAACGCUGGCGGCGUGCCUAACACAUGCAAGUCGAACGGAACUGUUUUGAAAGAUUUCUUCGGAAUGAAUUUGAUUUAGUUUAGUGGCGGACGGGUGAGUAACGCGUGAGUAACCUGCCUCCAAGAGGGGGAUAACAUUCUGAAAAGAAUGCUAAUACCGCAUGACAUAUCGGAACCACAUGGUUCUGAUAUCAAAGAUUUUAUCGCUUGAAGAUGGACUCGCGUCCGAUUAGUUAGUUGGUGAGGUAACGGCUCACCAAGACCGCGAUCGGUAGCCGGACUGAGAGGUUGAACGGCCACAUUGGGACUGAGACACGGCCCAGACUCCUACGGGAGGCAGCAGUGGGGGAUAUUGCGCAAUGGGGGCAACCCUGACGCAGCAACGCCGCGUGAAGGAUGAAGGUUUUCGGAUUGUAAACUUCUUUUAUUAAGGACGAAAAAUGACGGUACUUAAUGAAUAAGCUCCGGCUAACUACGUGCCAGCAGCCGCGGUAAUACGUAGGGAGCAAGCGUUGUCCGGAUUUACUGGGUGUAAAGGGUGCGUAGGCGGCUUUGCAAGUCAGAUGUGAAAUCUAUGGGCUCAACCCAUAAACUGCAUUUGAAACUGUAGAGCUUGAGUGAAGUAGAGGCAGGCGGAAUUCCCCGUGUAGCGGUGAAAUGCGUAGAGAUGGGGAGGAACACCAGUGGCGAAGGCGGCCUGCUGGGCUUUAACUGACGCUGAGGCACGAAAGCGUGGGUAGCAAACAGGAUUAGAUACCCUGGUAGUCCACGCUGUAAACGAUGAUUACUAGGUGUGGGGGGUCUGACCCCUUCCGUGCCGGAGUUAACACAAUAAGUAAUCCACCUGGGGAGUACGGCCGCAAGGUUGAAACUA